rnacentral:tRNA from 1 species
GCCUGGGUGGCGGAACUGGUAGACGCAAGGGACUUAAAAUCCCUCGGUCCAUAGGGCUGUACGAGUUCAAUUCUCGUCCCGGGCACCA